UAUUACAAGAUAUUGAAUAUAGUUCCCUGUGCCGAAUACAGGGGCUACAGCUGUAUCUCCUCUCCUACAUGCUUUUUGUGAUGUAAACUUGCCACACUCCCACUGAGAAGUAGAGUCCUUUUCCACCCUCUUGAAAAUGGCUUCUGCUCUUGAUGUUCAUGCUCCCGUGAGCCCACAUGCCAAAUAAAAUAAACCUGGUAUUCCCUGCUGUUUGAUGUCAGAGAAACCAUGUGUAGGAGAGAAAAGCUAUCCCAGAUGAGUGCAUCCUAGACAAACGAGCCCCCAUCUGACCCGGCAGCUGACCCCAGACACAUGAGUGAGCCUAUCUAAGAAACUAGCAGAACAACCCAGUUGAGGCCAGCCAGACUUCCUAACUACAAAAUCAUAACCUAAAUGAUGAUUGUUGUUGUUAAGCCACUAAAUAUUGGACUAGUAUGUUUUGGAACAAAAGUAUAUGAUUAAUUAAAAAUUGAAAAUAUA